rnacentral:sRNA from 1 species
AACUAAAUAUUCUCUUGAUCUUCUCCACGACAUACAUGCCUUUUCUCUGUCUCAAUCCUUUUCCACGGUGCUGAAAUCAUCGGAACUUUCGUUCUCCUUUACACCGUCUUCUUCGUGACUCACACGUCCCGGUACGGACCCCUCUUUAAGUUCCGGUUUGCUGAUUUUAUUGGUUAGUUAGUAGUUAAUGAGCCAAUUAGUUCAGGUUUAUAUAUAAUAGACUACUUUCAACUUUUAAUUAGUGUAUGAGGCAAUUAGUUACAGUUAAGACUAAUAAAUUGGUCAUGAUUCUUAUAUGUUAAUGGUAUCUCAUAUGGAUCCAUUUAAGACUAGUGAAUUUCAGCCCAUCUUAGUGUGAUAUGGAGGCCUGUUAAGGGUCUUCUAAUACAGCUCAACAAGCCUUUUCGUGUAACUUCUUUAUGAUACGAAUAUGUUUUGAAUAAUUAGCAUUGUGAUGGAUUGAAGAAUAACUUUUAUACGAUUAUUAGACUAAUCUACUAAACUCAUAUUAUCAAUACUCACACGAAAUGCCUUUUUAUAUAUAUAUAUAUACCGAAAAAUAGCAAAUCAGUGAUGUUUUGCAUGCGUGGGAUGAACAAACUACUCUGUAAACUUGUAAAGUGAGAAAUGAAGUUAAUUACCAAAGUGGAUUACCCAUCGGACUGCUCAAAAGCCCUUUCAAGUUGAUCCUUUUGAGUUAGGUAAACAUACAGCUACGAUUUUUAAUAAAAUGCUUAGUAUGAUGUCGACUUUUUACUAUAGAGGUUAGUCCGUUCAAGAACUUUUUGUAGAUAGACCAUAUUUGCACAAAAAAAAGGGUAGAUAAACCAUAUAUAUAUAUGGACAUAUUCUAUAUAUAGCUCAAAUUUGGCAUACAAAGUAGUGACCCCCGCGGUUAAAAUGACUCAAAAUCCACAAUUUGUACUUUUACACGUAUUUCAUUAUCAUUUGCUUAAAUUUUGAUUAUGUUUUGC